ACCCUUCGUGGACACGCCCUCUAGGCGUAAGGUUCCAUGCGAGCGGUAAGAGUGCGGCGGGACUUGGAAAUCGAAUCUGUGCUCUGUGAGAGAUCCUAGGAAAGGAAACUGGGAGCCCGGGAGAACUAAAAUUCCCAAUUAAAAGUGAAUUUAAAUCUGAGCUGUUCUUAGACCCAGAAUUUCUUGCCUGAAGGAGGAAUCAGGUCCCCACAAGGAAAGACCCUGCAACUGUAUAAAAAAAGAAUCUAAAAAGAUCAUGACUCCUUCAGUCCUUUCCCAAAGAGACCUAUGGAAAUUUCCUCAGGAGCACCCACAACAGAAUAGACAUUAAACAGCUGCAUAAACAAAUGACUCAGCCAGUUGAUGUCAGUCAGCCUGUGUCAACAGCCACCCCAAUGCUGGCACAAAAGGCACUAGAACAGAAUAGCCUGAUGGCAGAGAUGAAGUGUGCAUGGCUCCAGCAGCACGGACUCCUCUCAUUAAGGCUGAUCUAGCUACUGUUGCUGCCCCAUGUCUAACUUGCCAGCAACGGAGACCAAAGUUGAGCCCCGGAAUCAGCACCAUUCCUCAUAGAGACCAGCUAGUCACUGGGUGGAAGAGGGACCAAGCAAAACCCCAGAAGAGUUGAUCUCAAAGCUUAUUUUAUGAAGAAAAUUGACCUGAGUGACACAAAGGGUUGGACUGUAGUAGAUGUCACGUUUUGCUGCCUAGAUCUCCAUCCAGGGAUGAACUCUUAUUUCCUCAGCUUCUUUGUCUCCUCAGCUUCUGGGAGGGUUGGCAGCUGAUAUUCUCACCUGAGUCCCUUUCUAGGACUUGCCCUUGCCUGAAGAGAGCUGUGCUGCCCAACAUGAUGCCUCCUCCAAGGUACAAUCCACACCCAGUGACUAAUAAACAGGGGUUACAAAGGCAUGCCUGCUUGCCCCAGUUUGGGACAACUUUACCAGGCCAACCCAGCCUCAAGGCUCUCCACAGGAACAGGUGAGGCCAUAGUUGUGAUUACAUCACAGGUCAGUUUCUCCUCUGCCCAAGCCUUCUUCCUUCAUUCCUCCACAGAUGCUGAUCCUGAGAUUCCUUUCCAGUAAACUUCCUCCAUGCAAUCUUCAUCUCAGGAGUCUGUUUCCUGGGGAAACUAACCUGCAACUGAUACAAAUGCCUAUUCUGUGAGAUAAAACACUAAAAGUACAAUGCGAGUGGUAUAAAUAUUCUGCUACAGGAAUACAAAGUCAGGUAUCAUUUUUGACUUAGGUAGUCAGAGAAUGGAGAUAUUCUGAGUUGGACUUCUGAGAUACUAGGAUUCAAUAGGUGAAGGGAAGAUGAGAUGGUAUAAGACUAACAUAGGCAGAAUUUUGCUAAACGAAUUGGAGAUGAAACAUCAUAAGUGCAGGUGCACAAGUAGAAAAGUAAAAUCAGAGCUCAAGGAAGGAGAAGUGAUCCAGCUGGGCAGAAAUAUGGGGCCUAUAUAGAGAUAUACCAGGAAAUAAAGCCAGGACGAAUGGCAGGGUAGGACCUGAUUGUUAAGGGUCUUAAAUGCUGGGGUCAAGAUUGUGGCCCUUACUUAAAAGUUGGUUGGGCAUGAUUUUGGGAGUUGUAGCAAAAGAUGUGGCAAACUCAAAGCUUCCUUUUCAUGUAAAGUAUAGAGAAGUGGAGGUUCAUAUCAUUAAAUCACUGUAAUUUCAGUGUGAACUUCUAACAAUUUGAGCUAACCAUGAGAUAGGACACCUUAUCAAGCAAUGAGCUCUUCAUUAUCUAAAGAGAUGCUGAAUUUCAAGUCCAUGUAGAGGAAGUCUUGUGUUGACUAGAGCAUAAUAUGUCUGGGGGGACUUUUCUUCUUUUUUACUGAUAUUUAGUAACUUGGAUAUUGUGCUAAGUGCUUUACAGGUAUUCUUAUUUAAUCCUCACAAGGCAGUAUGGUAGAUAAUCUAUUAUAUUGAAAAUAAUGGGCCAGGCACAGUGGCUCACGCCUGUAAUCCCAGCACUUUGGGAGGCUGAGGUGGGUGGAUCACCUGAGGUCAGGAGUUCAAGACCAGCCUGACCAACAUGGUGAAACCCUGUCUUUACUAAAAAUACAAAAAUAAGCGUGGCAUAGUAGCUCACACCUGUAGUCCCAGCUACUCAGAAGGCUGAAGCACGAGAAUCACUUGAACCCACGAGGUGGAGGUUACAGUGAGCCAAAAUCACACCACUGGACUCCAGCCUGGGUAAGAGAGCAUGACUAGGUCUCAAAAGAAAGAAAGAAAAUAAUGAACAAAAAAUGUUGAGUGGGCAGUAUUAAAUUAAAAAAAAACCUAAUGUAUUAAAGAAGGAGAAAAGUAUAAAAAUUAGUCAACAAGCAGAGAAAGAAAGAAAAUAUAAAGGUAAAAAUGUAUGUUAUCCAAAUGAGACCUCUUAAGAAGAAAAAAUAAAGGAAAUUCAAAAAAUAAGUUAGGAAAUAGUGAGUAAAAUUAUGAAGUUAAAAAUUCACCAAAAAUUUAUUGAUAUGUCCAAGUUCAGCUUGUAGUGAACAGACUCUUCUUAUGCAGAAUUUGAGCAAAGUGCUAACACAACAGAGUUAGGUAAUGGGAUGAGGGUCAGUCAGAUCACUCUAUUUUUGGAAACUGGUUUCAUGACUGCUUCCCCUUACUUAGUCAUAAACAGGCUAUAUAAAAAGCUGUCAGAGUGGAAAGAGGGAGAGGAUUUGUGAAUUUUUUUUUUUAGCAUGUUUUUAUGGUUCUGUAAGUCACCACCCUCCCAAAGGGAUGAAGUUUCGGGGUGCACUCCCCUUACCUCAGCCUAGUAGGGGGACUUCCAGGAGAUAAUGAGAGAGUUGGAUGUUUCCUCAAAUUUACAGACACAAAGACUGGUGCCUGGCUUCUCCUGAUAAAGCUAAACCUGCAUGUGGCUGGUCUCUAGUUGGCUAGAUAGUAGUAGUUAAAAUGAAAAGAAACACUUAAUGUUAGAUGCCAUCCAAUAGGGCCACCUAAAGGGAUGGAAGGUUCUCAACAACAAGAGCCCAGAGGUAGAAGCAAGACUCUUAGCGGGGAAGGAUGGAGUCGCAAGUGAAAACCUAGACAAAGAAGCAUCUGUCCUGGUCCAGAGGCUUCCCCAAUAAAGAUGUCUCACACAACUCUAAGAAGUUAGAACUCGAGAAAAAGACUAACAAGAAAAAGAGUAAGGUGUGUUUGUGGAAGAGGUGAGGCAGUUGUUUUCCUAUAAAUAAUGUUAAAUUAAACUAAAUUUGGUCUGAGGAUGCCUCGUAACUUGAGUCGCUACAUAACAAACUGCAACCUAACUUAGGAGUAUUUUUUUUUUGUACUAACGAGGUGAGUCUCAGCCAAUCACAGCAGCCAAGCUACAGCCAAUCCCAUGUGGCCAACUGAUCAGCCUAUGCCCAGUAAGACAACUGCUCACCUGUAACUACUCAAGCUGCUUCUGGACCUCAUUUCCAUUUGCUGUUUAUAAGUGCUGCCUGCCCACUUUGCUGAGCAGAACUCUCUGAACUUCUUUCGUUUUUGAGGGUUACUUGAUUAGAAAAUUGUUCUUUGUUCAAUUAAAUUUUGCUAAAUAUAAUUCUUUUAAAGAUUUUCUUUUAACAACAAAGAUGGGGAUAUUUGAACAAUACCUUGGUUGGAGGUGACAUUCUAAUUUCUAAAUUGAGGCUAUUUGUAUUUUUAGCAGGACCCAAGGACUGUCACUUAAAAGCAGGCUAAAAAGCCUUGAAAUUUUCUAACUUUCCAUGCGAGAGCAGUGAUAGAUAACCCCACUACGCAAAAUGUCAUGGGGCAAUGGGAGACAAAAACUAA
ensembl:lncRNA CPB2-AS1 CPB2 antisense RNA 1